CCUACGGGGGGCAGCAGUCGAGAAUCAUUCACAAUGGGGGAAACCCUGAUGGGGCGACGCCGCGUGGGGGAAUGAAGGUCUUCGGAUUGUAAACCCCUGUCAUGUGGGAGCAAAUUAAAAAGAUAGUACCACAAGAGGAAGAGACGGCUAACUCUGUGCCAGCAGCCGCGGUAAUACAGAGGUCUCAAGCGUUGUUCGGAAUCACUGGGCGUAAAGCGUGCGUAGGCUGUUUCGUAAGUCGUGUGUGAAAGGCGCGGGCUCAACCCGCGGACGGCACAUGAUACUGCGAGACUAGAGUAAUGGGGGGGGACCCGGAAUUCUCGGUGUAGCAGUGAACUGCGUAGAUGUCGGGAGGAACACUCGUGGCGAGGGCGGGUUCCUGGACAUUAACUGACGCUGGGGCACGAAGGCCAGGGAGGCGAAAGGAUUAGAUACCCGAGUAGUC
rnacentral:rRNA from 1 species